UGCAGCAGGCGCGAAAACUUUACAAUGCGGGAAACCGUGAUAAGGGAACUCCGAGUGCCCGUAAAAUCGGGCUGUCCAUCUGUUUAAAUAACAGGUGAAGAAAGGGCCGGGCAAGACCGGUGCCAGCCGCCGCGGUAAUACCGGCGGCUCGAGUGGUGGCCACUAUUACUGGGCUUAAAGCGUUCGUAGCUGGUCUGUUAAGUCUCUGGGGAAAUCUACUGGCUUAACCAAUAGGCGUUUCAGGGAUACUGGCAGACUAGGGACCGGGAGAGGUGAGGGGUACUCCAGGGGUAGGAGUGAAAUCCUGUAAUCCUUGGGGGACCACCUGUGGCGAAGGCGCCUCACCAGAACGGCUCCGACAGUGAGGGACGAAAGCUGGGGGAGCAAACCGGAUUAGAUACCCGGGUAGUCCCAGCCGUAAACAAUGCGCGUUAGGUGUAUCGGUGACCACGAGUCACCGAGGUGCCGAAGAGAAAUCGUGAAACGUGCCGCCUGGGAAGUACGGUCGCAAGGCUGAAACUUAAAGGAAUUGGCGGGGGAGCAC
rnacentral:rRNA from 1 species